rnacentral:tRNA from 1 species
GGAAAUGUGGCUUAGUGGUAGAGUGCAUGCCUAGCAUGUGUGAAGUCCUGGGUUUGAUUCUCAGUACCA